GCAGAUUCUGAACAACAACCCGUGGACUCGGGUUCAGAUCCACCUUCUGCUGAUGCAGAUGCAGAGAAUGUUCAAGAGGGUGAAUCAGCCCCACCAGCAAAUGAAGAGCCUCCUGCCACCUCUGGGAGUGAAGAGGAACAGCAGCAGCAGGAACCCACACAGGCAGAGAAUCAAGAGCCUCCUGCCACCUCUGGGAGUGAAGAGGAACAGCAGCAGCAGGAAUCCACACAGGCAGAGAAUCAAGAGCCUUCUGACUCUGCUGGGGAAGGACAGGAAACUCAACCUGAGGAAGGAAAUGUAGAGUCACCUCCCUCUUCUCCUGAAAACUCACAAGAACAACCACAGCAAACAAAUCCAGAGGAGAAACCGCCUGCUCCUAAGACUCAGGAUGAACCACAGCACGACAGCGGUCGUCCAAAGAAGCCCCUCCUUCCUUUUAUCGCUAAUUUAAUACCAGAAAGAAUUCGGAAAUUAUUAGCUCGCAGUCCAUUAGCCAGAAGAUUUUAGAGAGUACCUGAGAAGAUUAUGACCUUCAGAUGUGUAGGUCAACAAAUCACUGUUGAUUGUCUAUAAUAUUCCAAUAAAAAUUUUCAGCAUGC
rnacentral:lncRNA from 1 species